GGUGAAAGAGAGGCAAGAGGCUUGAAGGGGGAAUUAUUCAGAAUGCAAGGAAAAAGUGGGACAGGCAUAUGUCAACUGAGUCUGCUGAGUUCUACAGUUCAUGGAAUUGCUGUUAGCUGGAAGGUCACCUUUGGGGGUAAAAAAAUGUCCAUUUUGGAAGUGUGAAACGACAGGCUUGUCCAACAUAAGCACGAGCAGCUGUGAAGAUCAGCCUGAAGGCCUGGAGGAGAUGGCCUGCCAUAUGGGAUUCCCAAAGCUCUCCCUGUACCUAUUCACUGCAGCAGCAACAAUGCACAAAAUGCUGAUGGGAAGAGUGAGCACUAAUUGCUUCUGAACUCUACUGUUUUAUGGCCUAAAGUUUACUUCCCAUGUCCAGUAAGGUCAUCAUUCAGUGAUCCUUUAUAAUGCUUUUGUGCUAAAACCAGCCUUUACUGUGUUUAAAUGUAAUGUGGGGGGAAAAGCUGGAACUCAAAGAAGUCCCUUCCAUGUAUGUGUGAUGAGAUGUCUCAGCAAGGAGACUGGUGACACUUUAAGGGCAGCAUUAAUUGCAGUCAUUUCCAUGGGGCUUGGCUCCAGCACACACAGGGAGUGUCCCCUCCCCAAGUAUUUGGGGUCCACAGG
rnacentral:lncRNA from 12 species